UUAUGGAAUAUUGGAAGUUCCAAGUAGGCUCAGGGGAAGUGUUCUUCUUCUCCUUUUGUUGGGAUUGCUGUGCGACAGGAAAUUUAGCACAACGUUGGGCUUGAUUCGAUUCAAAUGAAAACAACGCCAAGUUUCACCUCCCGCAUGGAAGCAAAUUAAGGAGAGGAUGAGGAGAUCCCCCCCGACGCUAAGAGAGCAGGCCAGCGUGUAAUGAAAUGGACCGGUUUUUUUUUUCUUUCCUUUUUAUUAUUUACAGUGCAGAGGGUGUGCUGCCCAGCUCUUGUUUACCCAAAAAAGAGGAGUGAGACCAGCAAACAGAAGCAGAACGAAGGGACCUGAGGCAGCAGAGGAUUCAGAAGCAACGUGGAAUUAGCAACUUAUCUCCUCGACAGGUUCUGAAGUGUUCAUAAGUCAAUGACAAAACUCAUAAAGAGGCCCCUUUAGGGCCCCUCGUCGAUGCUAUCACCCAUAAGCUUCUGGAUGGUCACCCUGCGGAUGGAGGGCCUGGACGCCAGCUCGGGCUUGGGCGG